rnacentral:lncRNA from 1 species
AUGGUAGUAGUGGUUGUCUGGGUGAUGGACUUAGAAAUGGUUGUAAUAUUCUUCUUUAUUCUUUUCCAUUUUUCUAACAUUUUAAAGCAAUUAAAAUGGGUUACUAUUAGAAUCAUUAAAAUAUCCUCUAUUAAAUGUGUGAGAGCACUAUAUAGAAGUACAAAAUUUGUUGGAAGUAUGGAAAAAUGAUUAUGUCUAACUAGGUGGGGAAUCAGGAAGGCUUUAGGAUUUAAUCUUUAAUAAUGAUGAAAAACUUUUAAUCUUAGAAAUAAUGAAAUUUCAUUGAGUUGAAAAGGCCUUUUAUAUUCCUACAACUUUUUAUCUCUAUGACAUUUGACUAUAGUCUCUAUUAACUAUCUAGAGCUCUAGUGACUGCUAUCUGACAUAUUAUCUUUUAUUACUUUAGAUAUAUCUUAAAAUUUUUUUCUACAUACACCAUGGGGAGAUGUUUCUUAAAUCAGUAGUUGUCACUAGUUUCAGAGUAUAUAUUUUUAGCAAAGACUCUUUCCGCUUGUCCCACUGACCCCAGAAAUGCUUUAUUUAGACAUUUACUAGCAAGGGCUGUUUCUUUAUCCUCUUGUUCUUCUGAAGACUUCUGUAUCUUUAAUAUUAAAUGCACAGAGCACAUAUUCUCCAGGGUCCAAUAGGCUUCUAGCAAAAAGACUCCACAAACCAUCUGCUUCAUCAGCCAUGAGCUUCCUGUUCUUUUGGUGGACACCCUAAGUGAUGAGACGUCCCAAGGUUUUCAGUGAAAGUGCAGGGAUUAUCAGGACAGAAUUUAGGUGACAUGAUAGGCUUCAACUAACCUGAAAGAUGAGCAUCUUGGUUCUAUGUAACCCUGAUGAAUUAUUUACCCUCUCUAUGCCUUAGUUUCCUCACUGAUAAAAUGGAGAUAAUAAAGAAGAGAAAAAAAUAGAGAUAAUAGCAAUCAUUUCAUAGGCUUAUUUUGAAUAUUAAAUUUGGCAUUUGUUAAUAUUUGAUAUAUAUAGUUGCCCUUAUUGUGAUGUAUCAUAGACCUGGGGGGUUGUGGAGUUCUAUUUUUCUCCUGAAUGAUUAUAGGAAGUGGUGGAAUUUUGAAUGACAAGUGAGUUGUGGAGGGCAGAUGAGGGUGGCGGUGAUAGGGGAUGUGCCAGGCAAGGAGGGUUGGGAUAGCACCAUGACCUAGGGAUGCUGCUGGUGGAACUUCAGGUGUAGGGGAACUGUGAGAGAUGAGACCAGAGAGGGAGACUGGAUCCAG